rnacentral:rRNA from 1 species
CCUGCCCUUCAGAGGGGGACAACAGUUGGAAACGACUGCUAAUACCGCAUACGAUCUAAUCUCGGCAUCGAGGAUAGAUGAAAGGUGGCCUCUACAUGUAAGCUAUCACUGAAGGAGGGGAUUGCGUCUGAUUAGCUAGUUGGAGGGGUAACGGCCCACCAAGGCGAUGAUCAGUAGCCGGUCUGAGAGGAAGGUCCCCCACAUUGGAACUGAGACACGGUCCAA